UACGUAGGGGGCAAGCGUUGUCCGGAAUCAUUGGGCGUAAAGAGCGUGUAGGCGGCCCGGUAAGUCCGCUGUGAAAGUCCAGGGCUCAACCCUGGGAUGCCGGUGGAUACUGUCGGGCUCGAGUCCGGAAGAGGAGUGUGGAAUUCCUGGUGUAGCGGUGAAAUGCGCAGAUAUCAGGAGGAACACCAAUGGCGAAGGCAGCACUCUGGGACGUGACUGACGCUGAGACGCGAAAGCGUGGGGAGCAUACAGG
rnacentral:rRNA from 1 species